CGAGUGGCGGACGGGUGAGUAAUGUCUGGGAAACUGCCUGAUGGAGGGGGGUAACGUACUGGAAACGGUAGCUAAUACCGCAUAACGUCGCAAGACCAAAGAGGGGGACCUUCGGGCCUCUUGCCAUCGGAUGUGCCCAGAUGGGAUUAGCUAGUAGGUGGGGUAACGGCUCACCUAGGCGACGAUCCCUAGCUGGUCUGAGAGGAUGACCAGCCACACUGGAACUGAGACACGGUCCAGACUCCUACGGGAGGCAGCAUG
rnacentral:rRNA from 1 species